rnacentral:lncRNA from 1 species
CUGUCCAACACUUGCCCUACCUUCUUUUUCUAACUAUAAAUAGAAGGCCCUGGCUUAAAACUCUAAUUGUUUGUAUCCUACAGGAUGUCCUGUCUCCAGGCCCUGUGUUCUAACAUUGUUGCCACAUUCCUGGGACUCUGCCUACAACUACUAACCACUGGUGAAGCUGUGGACAUGCAAAAGCUGCUUGAUGUAAACGUGGCUCCCAUGGGACCUGCAAAACCAAGAGAGAAUAUCGAACUGGCAUGUCGUAUUCAAUCAUUUUGGACAGGUUGCACUGCAGUAAAGGUCUACACCCAAAGCAACCUGCCCAUUGAUUUCCCUUUUGGAAAUUUCAAUUAUACUUACUGUGCGUGUCAUAGGGAAACUAAGACCUUCUACUGGACAAUCCAAAGCCACAGGACUGUGAAUGUAGGAUGUAAAGCUGUUUUCCUUCUGGAUGAUGUUUGCCCUGAGGGCCAGAAUUCAGUUCCUCCCCAGAGCAAAAGAAGAUAUGGUUCUAAUAUGAAGACCUUGAAAAUAUCUAACUAGCUACAAGCCCAAGGCUCUCUCCUUUCCCCUCAUCAUUUAAAGUCACUGUUAGUUCUGGCCCCAGAACUAGCUCUGAGCCUCUGAGACCAGUUUCAAAUGUAGAAUAAACAUAUCAUACUUCUCUGCCUGUCUGUG